UUGAGCUGCAAGUGUGCAGAUCUACUGAAUGGACGCUCACAUGAUUUUGCAUUGCUGCUGAUGCUCAGCCUUACACUGCCACGAGCUGGGAGAAGGCAACUCCACUUUCCACUAUGUUCCAACUCAUGUGAGCACUGCUUGGCUAUGCUCCCCAGCAAAAGAAAAACUGGGAAGAUCAGAGUGCAAAACCAAGUCCUCAUUGGUCUUACUGCAAAACAAUGGUCAAAAUCAAACUGUACAAAUUCAGAUCAAUAUGAGUUAGGUCUUCACUGAGCAACAAUAAGGCAAGUUUUGAUGAACCUGAGUGACCUAGAAUCCUCUGGAAAAGUGAGAGUCAUCUUGUGAAAGACGUCAUGGGUUAAAAUUGAGCAGUCUGGGCUUCUGCUUUGCUUGAAAUGUUAUUACACCUCUCAGUGCCUCUCUCUAUUCUAUCAUUGUAAAUAUUCAUUCAAGUAUUUCCAGAUCUCACAAGAGUGUUCUGAGAAUAAAUUCAUUACUCCUUAUGAAGCACACUGAUAUUACAGUGAUGACAUAGAUAGAAGCCUAUAAAGAAAAAUAAAAGCUUAUUUGCUUCAGGGCUUAGAGGAUAUGUCGUAAAUACAAUGUGGAACCACAUGUUGAACGUAAGGAUAAAAAGAAAUAUCCAGGUGUUGCUUAGCACUUUGUCCCCUGUAUUAACCAAAGGCUCAGGGGAGGGAAAGGGUGGGAGAAAAAGCCUGUUUUUCCUACAAGAGUUUUGACAGCAAACUAGUACGUGACGUGCAAAAAGCACAGGAGAAAGGUAACAUUGGGAUUUUAUUAACAGCUCUUCAGUUGUAGUUGUCAUGAAACUUAUACAAAACUGAAUUAAAAUUCUUCUUUACCCAUAUUCCCUUUGAACGGACCUCUUUAGAAUACAAGGGAUUUUGUGGUGCAUAGAGAGGUCUAUUUAUAGUGCCUUAUGCCACCAAUAAUUGAUCUGUUCUCAUAUUUAUAUCUCAUAAAAACAUAAAUAUCUCAGAAGAUACUUCUGCAUUUAUUAUGAACAUUUCUCCUUAGACAGUAAAUAUUUUCAAGCAUCACAAAUCCUCACAAAGGCUUUAAGGCUUUGUGAUGCUUUAUGCUAUUUUCUCCCUUUUUGAAAGUAGCUGAAAUAAAGAAAAUGGCUUACAGAUUUAGCUGUGUAUAUAGUUUGAAAGUAACAACUGAAAAAUGAUGUUCAUAAUCUGAAUUGCAAUGAAACCAAUUAUCUGUACCAUGGUGUUUCACUUGGGAAUACUCUGAAAGGUUUAGUAUUUCUUAAAAGAAAUUAAAAACAGCUGUAAAAAUACCAUAAAACAAAAAUAGCAGCUGCAAAAGAGAUUAACAUUCCUAAAUUUCAUUUGAACCUGAGAUGUUAUUUUUCCAACAGAAACAUACAUAUAUACUGAUUUUUAAAAUCUAUUCUUUAUGAAACUAUAUCCUUUUAAGAAAAAGAUAUGGUUUUUUUUUUUUCUUUUCCAUUUCACCACUUCUUGAUACUACCUAUGAAUUUCAUGAACAUUCUUCCCCUCUGCCUAGGAAUUUUGUAGUACAUUUUCUUCUGUAAUUGUCAAAGAAAAGCUACAAUUGUUGAAUCUUGAAGAAUGAUUUGAAUAUAACCUAUUAAGAAUUAAAGAUCUGCCUAAUAAACAAUUUAUAGCAAUCCUUGCACUUUUUUUACUUACAGCUGUCAAACAGCUUUCAAACUGAGCCCAAAUCACCCUGUGCCUGUUUUAAAAUUUUAUAUAGCGUCUGUUUUCCAAUUAAGCAGCCAGUCAUAGAUGAAACCUUUCCUAAUCUUUUUCAUAUAUAUAAUAAAACCAAAUGUAAUUUAUAAAACAGAACUGGAGGUGCUGACAGUAUAAAACAGUUUAUUUUGCAGUCUUGGUCAAAACAUAUGGCAGCAACUUUUCUAGACUUCUGCCAGAUGGCGGGCCUUAAUCGAUUUUGUCUGUUGUGCCGCAUGUUAAUUCUCUGUGAAAAGUGUUUCUUCAAACUCAAUUAAAAAAAUAAUGACUUUCAUUUUCUUACUGAGCAACUAAUGCUAAAACUGUCAUUUAGAUAUGUCUGUUUAAGUUUGAAAAGUUUUUGAAAGCCCCAAGAUAUUUACACAACAGGUAAAAUUGAUUCUAAUGGCUUUGAAAGCUGUGAUUGUUAUUUGUCAGCUUAUGUAUCAUUUCAUGUGAAUCUGAAUAAAUUUACCUUUUUGAUAAUA